AGCGUUCCUCACACAGUACUGCUGACUUGGGACAUAGCAGCAUCUCUACACACAGAGAGAAUAGUUGUGUCUUCAUGGCUUUUAUGCUCCGACCUAAUGUGCAGAGAACCCUUCCAGACGAAGCUCCCACCACAGUUUGGAAAUGAUUGAUCUGUGACGUCACCAAACAACAGGUUUUUUGCUUGGUUUCUGUCUUUUUUUCUCAGAGCAUUAGAUAAGCAAUUCCUUUGCAUUCCCCUUACAUAUGUGCUCUGUUUUUCCUCCCCGUUGAGUUAAUCGGGCGAGAGUGGCCCUGAAACGAACAGGAGAUUGGCACCAUGAACCUCCCUGUGAUUCUGCACAGCGAGGAGGGGUGGAGUGAUAUCGCACAACGGUAUCCUAACUCAGAAGCAAAGCAGAUGAAACGGAAGAAACCCGCCCCUCCUUCUGCGGGGCCGCUUUGCAGGGCCGCCCGCACGACGGAGAGCGGCUGAGCGGCGGCCCUCCUCUUUGAAUUUCCUGGCUUUUGUAAAUUUGUCAGUCCAG
rnacentral:lncRNA from 1 species